GCCUGGCUGGCUCAGUCGGUAGAGCUUGGGACUCUUAAUCCCAGGGUCAUGGGUUUGAGCUCCAAAUUGGGUG